AUUGAACGCUGGCGGCAGGCCUAACACAUGCAAGUCGAGCGGAUGAAGGGAGCUUGCUCCUGGAUUCAGCGGCGGACGGGUGAGUAAUGCCUAGGAAUCUGCCUGGUAGUGGGGGAUAACGUCCGGAAACGGGCGCUAAUACCGCAUACGUCCUGAGGGAGAAAGUGGGGGAUCUUCGGACCUCACGCUAUCAGAUGAGCCUAGGUCGGAUUAGCUAGUUGGUGGGGUAAAGGCCUACCAAGGCGACGAUCCGUAACUGGUCUGAGAGGAUGAUCAGUCACACUGGAACUGAGACACGGUCCAGACUCCUACGGGAGGCAGCAGUGGGGAAUAUUGGACAAUGGGCGAAAGCCUGAUCCAGCCAUGCCGCGUGUGUGAACAAGGUCUUCGGAUUGUAAAGCACUUUAAGUUGGGAGGAAGGGCAGUAAGUUAAUACCUUGCUGUUUUGACGUUACCAACAGAAUAAGCACCGGCUAACUUCGUG
rnacentral:rRNA from 1 species